UACGUAGGGGGGCUAGCGUUGUCCGGAAUCAUUGGGCGUAAAGCGCGUGUAGGCGGCUCGGUAAGUCCGCUCUGAAAGUCCAGGGCUCAACCCUGGGAUGCGGGUGGAUACUGCCGGGCUCGAGUCCGGAAGAGGCGAGUGGAAUUCCUGGUGUAGCGGUGAAAUGCGCAGAUAUCAGGAAGAACACCAAUGGCGAAAGCAGCUUUCUGGGACGGUACUGACGCUGAGACGCGAAAGCGUGGGGAGCGAACAGG
rnacentral:rRNA from 1 species